rnacentral:rRNA from 1 species
GACGAACGCUGGCGGCGUGCUUAACACAUGCAAGUCGAACGGAAAGGCCCUGCUUUUGUGGGGUGCUCGAGUGGCGAACGGGUGAGUAACACGUGAGUAACCUGCCCUUGACUUUGGGAUAACUUCAGGAAACUGGGGCUAAUACCGGAUAGGAGCUCCUGCUGCAUGGUGGGGGUUGGAAAGUUUCGGCGGUUGGGGAUGGACUCGCGGCUUAUCAGCUUGUUGGUGGGGUAGUGGCUUACCAAGGCUUUGACGGGUAGCCGGACUGAGAGGGUGACCGGCAAAAUGGGGACUGAGAGACGGCCCAGACUCCAACGGGAGGAAGCAGUGGGGAAUAUUGCAGAAUGGGAGGAAGCCUGAUGCAGCAACGCCGCGUGCGGGAUGACGGCCUUCGGGUUGUAAACCGAUUUCGCCUGUGACGAAGAGUGAGUGACGGUAAUGGGUAAAGAAGCACCGGCUAACUACGUG